GGCCUGAUGGUCUAGUAGUAUGAUUCCUUGUUAGGGUGUUCCCUGCUGCACCGCAUUUCGAGGAGGUCCCGGGUUCAAUUCCCGGUCAGGCCC